rnacentral:rRNA from 1 species
GACGAACGCUGGCGGCGUGCUUAACACAUGCAAGUCGAACGGAAAGGCCCUGCUUUUGUGGGGUGCUCGAGUGGCGAACGGGUGAGUAACACGUGAGUAACCUGCCCUUGACUUUGGGAUAACUUCAGGAAACUGGGUCUAAUACCGGAUAGGAGCUCCUGCUGCAUGGUGGGGGUUGGAGAGUUUCGGCGGUUGGGGAUGGACUCGCGGCUUAUCCGCUUGUUGGUGGGGUAGUGGCUUACCAAGGCUUUGACGGGUAGCCGGCCUGAGAGGGUGACCGGCAACAUGGGGACGGGGAUACGGCCCAGACUCCUACGGGAGGCAGCAGUGGGGAUAUUGGCACAAGGGGCGGAGGCCGGAUGCAGCAAGGCGGGGUGCGGGAGGACGGCCUUCGGGUUGUAAACCGCUUUCGCCUGUAACGAAGCGUGUGUGACGGUAAUGGGUAAAGAAGCACCGGCUAACUACGUG